rnacentral:rRNA from 1 species
UGGUUGGACGAGGUAAUAGCUGUCUUUAUUUAAUAUAUAUUAGAAUUUAACUUUUAAGUCAAAAGGCUUAAAUUUAAUUGAUAGACGAGAAGACCCUAUAGAUCUUUAUUUAUAAAGUUAUGAGUUGGAUUUGGAUUAAUUUAAAGUUUGUAACUCUAUGAAUUUUAUUGGGGUAAUAUAAAGAUUAAAAAAAUUCUUUGAAUAGAUUUAACAAUGAUUAUUGGCAAAUUGAUCCAUUAGUAUUGAUUAGAAGAUUAAGUUAC